ACAGCCCAGCGCAUAACCUCCCGGGCUACCAAGCCUGCGGCGGGAUGUUGCGUUAAGGGAAAGGUCGUAUCUAAGCCCCGCACUACAUAGCCUAAGUUUGGCUUGAAUAUCCACUGUACUCCUAACGGAUGCAACGGUUCCACAGAGGGUGCCAGACCCGUGUGGCUGUGUGGUUAAAUGUGCGCGGGUUCGGCUUCUAUUCCCUGAGAGUCGCGUUGCUUGAGAAUGCAGCGCUAAGCAGGUCGUAAACUCGACCUAAGGCUAAAUAUUUUCACAGAACCGAUAGCGAACAAGUACCGUGAGGGAAAGUUGAAAAGCACUCUGAAGAGAGAGUCAAAAGAUCGUGAAACCGUUCAGAGUAUAGGCCAAUGGUAUACUGGAAAUGUCUGGAGCAGCCCUUCCCCAUUGGGGAGGAGGGUAUCGUGUGUGGUACAAUAAGGUCGGGAGGGGAAAAAAGUGGCCUUAAGUGGAUAUCACGCCGAAUUGAACCUUGCGGGCUACUGACGCUGAGUACAGGGAAGGUUCUAAUGAGGAUCCGACCCGAGGGUGGGCUUUGUGCAAGCACCGGCUGGAAGCCACACUAUAACGAGUUGCCUUAAUACAGUUCACCACAAUCCUUUACAAGGUCUCACUUACGCUGGCAUGAACAAAGUAUGAAGAGACGUGGGCGUUUGCUCCACCUCGCUGUUAUGUUUACGUUUUGACUGAGCUGUGGAGUCGGCAUUCGAACUAUGCUCCUGUCUAAUAUGUAAGUCGAAUGAUCCUAAGUGAAGAUUGUCUCUGGCCGACCAGCCGCUCUUUACGCAAUUCGAGUACGCCCGAACGUUCACUCUCGCGUACGGCUCGUGUAGGCUUUUCCGUGAGCGCGUCUGGUCGCUUUGGUGGCUAAUUCCAGAACCAUUGGUCACGUCUCGAAACACGGGCCAAGGAGCAUAGCAUGUGCGCAAGUCUAAGGGAUAAGAAAUCCUGGAGGCGAAGUGAAAGCAAAUGGUGUGAUGGCGUGUCAAGCGUCGUCAGCUUGUGCUCACUGAUUUGGGUGUCGUCCGCGUUUUUGGAUGAAUGCACCUCCGGCUGUACUUGGGUUGAUCCGUCGUAAUAAAGCCGUACUGGCGAUACGAUGGCGCAAACCUCAAACUCUCGAUGUGACGGGCUCAGCAAGUCCUCCGAGGGCAUUGGAGAGCGUGCAUGCUAUAACCCGAAAGAUAGUGAACUAUGCCUGGCGA
rnacentral:rRNA from 1 species